rnacentral:rRNA from 1 species
AUUGAACGCUGGCGGCAUGCUUUACACAUGCAAGUCGAACGGUAACAGGCCUUCGGGUGCUGACGAGUGGCGAACGGGUGAGUAAUGCAUCGGAACGUGCCCCAAUCGUGGGGGAUAACGUAGCGAAAGUUACGCUAAUACCGCAUAAGCCCUGAGGGGGAAAGGUGGGGGACCGCAAGGCCUCACGCGAAUGGAGCGGCCGAUGUCAGAUUAGCUAGUUGGUGGGGUAAAGGCCCACCAAGGCGACGAUCUGUAGCGGGUCUGAGAGGAUGAUCCGCCACACUGGGACUGAGACACGGCCCAGACUCCUACGGGAGGCAGCAGUGGGGAAUUUUGGACAAUGGGCGCAAGCCUGAUCCAGCCAUGCCGCGUGCGGGACGAAGGCC